rnacentral:rRNA from 1 species
UGAUAGGGAGCUGCUAUGGCAGCGAACUGAUCGAUCCUACACUGCCAAGAAAAGCCUCUAAACAAGAUAACCUGGUAUCCGUACUAAAACCGACACAGGUAGGUAGGUAGAGAAUACCAAGGCGCUCGAGAUAACCCUCGUUAAGGAACUCGGCAAAAUGACUCCGUAACUUCGGGAGAAGGAGUGCCCCGGUAGGGUGAGUUGAUUUACUCAUACAAGCCCGAAGGGGUUGCAAAGAAACGGCCCAAGCGACUGUUUACUAAAAACACAGGUCUCUGCUAAAUCGAAAGAUGAUGUAUAGGGACUGACGCCUGCCCGGUGCUGGAAGGUUAAGGAAGGAGGUUACCUCUCAUCAUUGAGAGGGAAGCUUCUGACCGAAGCCCCAGUAAACGGCGGCCGUAACUAUAACGGUCCUAAGGUAGCGAAAUUCCUUGUCGGGUAAGUUCCGACCUGCACGAAUGGCGUAACGAUUUGGGCACUGUCUCAACGAGGGACUCGGUGAAGUUGUAGUGUAAGUGAAGAUGCUUACUACCCGCGACAGGACGGAAAGACCCCGUGAACCUUUACUGUAGCCUGAUAUUGAACUUUAGCAUAUCCUGUGUAGGAUAGGUGGUAGGCUGUGAAAGAGGGGCGUUAGCCUCUCCGGAGCCAUCCUUGAAAUACCACCCUUGGUAUGUUUGGGUUCUAACCUUUCGCCGUUAUCCGGCAAAGGGACAGUAUUUGGUGGGCAGUUUGACUGGGGCGGUCACCUCCUAAAGAGUAACGGAGGUGUCCCAAGGUCUCCUCAGUGUGGUUGGAAAUCACACCAGAGAGUGUAAAGG